UACGUAGGGUGCAAGCGUUGUCCGGAAUUACUGGGCGUAAAGGGUCUGUAGGUGGCCAACUAAGCCAGACGUGAAAUCCCUCAGCUUAACUGGGGAACUGCGUCUGAUGACUGGCGAGCUUGAGUGCAGGAGAGGAACGCGGAAUUCCAGGUGUAGCGGUGAAAUGCGUAGAUAUCAGGAGGAACACCGGUGGCGAAGGCGGCUACCUGGACAGAAACUGACGCUGAGGCGCGAAAGCUAGGGGAGCAAACAGG
rnacentral:rRNA from 1 species